GGGGUGUGGCUCAGUGGUAGAGUAAUUGCCUAGCAUGUGUGAAGCACUGGGUCUGAUUCUCAGCAGCACAUAUAAAUAAAUGAAUAAAAUAAAGGUCCAUCAACAUCUAAAAAAUAUUUUAAAAUUUUUGGAAAUGAAAAGAAUAUUCAUUAAAAUAAACAAAAAAAAAUCAAUGAGGGCUAGGAAUGUAGCUCUGUGGUAAAGUACUUGCCUAAUACACAUGAAACUCUGGGUUCAAUCCCCAGUACCACCCA
rnacentral:tRNA from 1 species